UUUACUGAGAGUUUGAUCCUGGCUCAGGACGAACGCUGGCGGCGUGCCUAAUACAUGCAAGUCGUGCGGACUUUUUAAAAGCUUGCUUCUAAAAAGUUAGCGGCGGACGGGUGAGU
rnacentral:rRNA from 1 species